rnacentral:rRNA from 1 species
AGCGAACGCUGGCGGCAGGCCUAACACAUGCAAGUCGAGCGGGCACUUUCGGGGGUCAGUGGUGGACGGUUGAGUAACGCGGGGGAACGUGCCCGUGGGUACGGAAUAUCGCAGGGAAACAUGAGCUAAUACCGGAUAAGCCCAUAUGGGGUAAGGCUUGCUGCCGGAGGAUCGGCCCGCGUCUGAUGAGCUGGUUGGUGAGGUAACGGCUCACCAAGGCGACGAUCAGUAGCUGGUCUGAGAGGAUGAUCAGCCACACUGGGGCUGAGACACGGCCCAGACUCCUACGGGAAGCAGCAGUGGGGAAUAUUGGACAAUGGGCGCAAGCCUGAUCCAGCCAUGCCGCGUGAGUGAUGAAGGCCUUAGGGUUGUAAAGCUCUUUUAUCCGGGACGAUAAUGACGGUACCGGAGGAAUAAGCCCCGGCUAACUUCGUG